rnacentral:rRNA from 1 species
AACGAACGCUGGCGGCAGGCCUAACACAUGCAAGUCGAGCGAGGUAGCAAUACCUAGCGGCGGACGGGUGAGUAACGCGUGGGAACGUACCCUUUGCUACGGAAUAGCCCCCGGGAAACUGGGAGUAAUACCGUAUGUGCCCUUCGGGGGAAAGAUUUAUCGGCAAAGGAUCGGCCCGCGUUGGAUUAGGUAGUUGGUGGGGUAAUGGCCUACCAAGCCGACGAUCCAUAGCUGGUUUGAGAGGAUGAUCAGCCACACUGGGACUGAGACACGGCCCAGACUCCUACGGGAGGCAGCAGUGGGGAAUCUUAGACAAUGGGCGCAAGCCUGAUCUAGCCAUGCCGCGUGAGUGAUGAAGGCCUUAGGGUUGUAAAGCUCUUUCAGAUGGGAAGAUAAUGACGGUACCAUCAGAAGAAGCCCCGGCUAACUCCGUGCCAGCAGCCGCGG